AGUAUAGACGGAGAUUUCACCAUGUUAGCCAGGAUGGUCUCGAUUUCCUUACCUCAUGAUCCCCUGCCUCGGCCUCCCAAAGUGCUGGGAUUACAGGCGUGAACCAAGGCGCCCGGCCGGAGUAGGAAUUUUAUGGGUUAUAAACUAAGGAUAUGGAGGUCGACUUGAGGAAGAAACCUGGAGUAUAAAAAUUCAGUUUGGAAAAAGACGUUUUGUCUCUUAAACUGAAGCACAUUCCUGCCAUUCAUUCGGACCAUACGAAGAUAAAACUAAAAACUUUUCUCUAAAGCUCCUGGUGAUGGUAGUUGAGUCAAUGAGCCACCAGCAACAACAAAGGACAAAAAGGUGUGUUGCUGGCAAUAUGUGGCCCCAGGGGAGAGGCAAAAGUGGAGGUUCCCGAGUCAUCUGAGAUUUGUUGCCUCGGAACAGGAUCCACAGCUCAAUAAUAGUCACUGUACUGUCAUUGUUUAUUUGAAAUCUAAAGGUGUAAUGCAAGAAUAUGCAAGACCACAGGGACUGGAGACACAAAGAGCAUCUGAAGAGAGCUUGAAUGACUCCCAACAGUUCCAGUCUCAAAGUUACCAUGUGCAGCACAGUCAGGGCAGCAUGUGAGAAGAACAACAAGAAAGCUGGGGUCUGCCAGAGAAGACGGAAGCCCUCACAUUAAACUGAGUCAGCUGGCAUCUUGAUCUUGGACUUUCAAAUCUCCAGAACUGUGAGAAAUAAAUGUUAGUUGUUUAAACCA